rnacentral:tRNA from 1 species
UGUUAUGUAGCUCAGAGGUAGAGCAUUUGCCUAGUAUGCAUGAGCCCUGGGUUUGAUCCCUAGCCCCACAG